CGUGAGGAACCUACCUUCAAGUGGGGAAUAACUGCCAGAAAUGGCAGCUAAUACCGCAUGUGGCUGUUCCCUGGCAUCUGGGAACAACUAAAGAUUUAUCGCUUGGAGACGGCCUCGCGGCCUAUUAGCUAGUUGGUGGGGUAAUGGCCUACCAAGGCGAUGAUGGGUAGCUGGUCUGAGAGGACGAUCAGCCACACUGGGACUGAGACACGGCCCAG
rnacentral:rRNA from 1 species